rnacentral:lncRNA from 7 species
AUCGUCCCUAUCGACGACCGUACACCGACGUAGAAACCGCACUGCACAAGGUGUGUGCCGCCGCCGUCGGCCCCCUGUUUUUGGCACCACGUGGAGACUUAGUGCUGACAGGGUGGUUCGUCGCGGUCUCGGGAUUCUGCGUGGGGGAUCCUUGGACGAAAUAGACCACCGAGCUCACCGGAAUUCCUCGCCGUCGCCAUAAACUCGUGCUGCGCUGUGGCCAGGCGUUCCUGUGACCCAAUAGCUGCGUGAGGUCACGAGUCACCUGAAGAUCAUCCUGGUACCUGGAAUCUCAAGUCCCAGGUCAAGAACAGGUACCGCAGGAUGAGGUGCAUGAAGGAUGCUGUGAUGUGUUCGUGAGAGGUCUAGGCCGUCGUCUUCCAGUCAACUGUGGGUUGCUGGAUCGUUUCCUCAUAUGAUGUAAUUAUUUAUUUAUUU